rnacentral:rRNA from 1 species
AAAUUGAAGAGUUUGAUCAUGGCUCAGAUUGAACGCUGGCGGCAGGCCUAACACAUGCAAGUCGAACGGUAACAGGAAGCAGCUUGCUGCUUUGCUGACGAGUGGCGGACGGGUGAGUAAUGUCUGGGAAACUGCCCGAUGGAGGGGGAUAACUACUGGAAACGGUAGCUAAUACCGCAUAACGUCGCAAGACCAAAGAGGGGGACCUUAGGGCCUCUUGCCAUCGGAUGUGCCCAGAUGGGAUUAGCUAGUAGGUGGGGUAAUGGCUCACCUAGGCGACGAUCCCUAGCUGGUCUGAGAGGAUGACCAGCCACACUGGAACUGAGACACGGUCCAGACUCCUACGGGAGGCAGCAGUGGGGAAUAUUGCACAAUGGGCGCAAGCCUGAUGCAGCCAUGCCGCGUGUAUGAAGAAGGCCUUCGGGUUGUAAAGUACUUUCAGCGGGGAGGAAGGGAGUAAAGUUAAUACCUUUGCUCAUUGACGUUACCCGCAGAAGAAGCACCGGCUAACUCCGUGCCAGCAGCCGCGGUAAUACGGAGGGUGCAAGCGUUAAUCGGAAUUACUGGGCGUAAAGCGCACGCAGGCGGUUUGUUAAGUCAGAUGUGAAAUCCCCGGGCUCAACCUGGGAACUGCAUCUGAUACUGGCAAGCUUGAGUCUCGUAGAGGGGGGUAGAAUUCCAGGUGUAGCGGUGAAAUGCGUAGAGAUCUGGAGGAAUACCUGUGGCGAAGGCGGCCCCCUGGACGAAGACUGACGCUCAGGUGCGAAAGCGUGGGGAGCAAACAGGAUUAGAUACCCUGGUAGUCCACGCCGUAAACGAUGUCGACUUGGAGGUUGUGCCCUUGAGGCGUGGCUUCCGGAGCUAACGCGUUAAGUCGACCGCCUGGGGAGUACGGCCGCAAGGUUAAAACUCAAAUGAAUUGACGGGGGCCCGCACAAGCGGUGGAGCAUGUGGUUUAAUUCGAUGCAACGCGAAGAACCUUACCUGGUCUUGACAUCCACGGAAGUUUUCAGAGAUGAGAAUGUGCCUUCGGGAACCGUGAGACAGGUGCUGCAUGGCUGUCGUCAGCUCGUGUUGUGAAAUGUUGGGUUAAGUCCCGCAACGAGCGCAACCCUUAUCCUUUGUUGCCAGCGGUCCGGCCGGGAACUCAAAGGAGACUGCCAGUGAUAAACUGGAGGAAGGUGGGGAUGACGUCAAGUCAUCAUGGCCCUUACGACCAGGGCUACACACGUGCUACAAUGGCGCAUACAAAGAGAAGCGACCUCGCGAGAGCAAGCGGACCUCAUAAAGUGCGUCGUAGUCCGGAUUGGAGUCUGCAACUCGACUCCAUGAAGUCGGAAUCGCUAGUAAUCGUGGAUCAGAAUGCCACGGUGAAUACGUUCCCGGGCCUUGUACACACCGCCCGUCACACCAUGGGAGUGGGUUGCAAAAGAAGUAGGUAGCUUAACCUUCGGGAGGGCGCUUACCACUUUGUGAUUCAUGACUGGGGUGAAGUCGUAACAAGGUAACCGUAGGGGAACCUGCGGUUGGAUCACCUCCUUACCUUAAAGAAGC